UACAGAGGGUGCGAGCGUUAAUCGGAAUUACUGGGCGUAAAGCGCACGUAGGCGGCUUGGUAUGUCGGGUGUGAAAUCCCCCGGGCUCAACCUGGGAACUGCAUCCGAAACUGCCUUGCUAGAGUAUGGGAGAGGGAAGUGGAAUUUCCGGUGUAGCGGUGAAAUGCGUAGAUAUCGGAAGGAACAUCAGUGGCGAAGGCGACUUCCUGGACCAAUACUGACGCUCAGGUGCGAAAGCGUGGGGAGCGAACGAGG
rnacentral:rRNA from 1 species